CUGAACUUAAGCAUAUCAAUAAGCGGAGGAAAAGAAACCAACAGGGAUUGCCCCAGUAACGGCGAGUGAAGCGGCAACAGCUCAAAUUUGAAAUCUGGCUUUCGGGCCCGAGUUGUAAUUUGCAGAGGAUGCUUUUGGCGCGGUUCUUUCUGAGUUCCCUGGAAUGGGACGCCAUAGAGGGUGAGAGCCCCGUACGGUCGGAUACCAAGCCUUUGUAAAGCUCCUUCGACGAGUCGAGUAGUUUGGGAAUGCUGCUCAAAAUGGGAGGUAAAUUUCUUCUAAAGCUAAAUACCGGCCAGAGACCGAUAGCGCACAAGUAGAGUGAUCGAAAGAUGAAAAGCACUUUGAAAAGAGGGUUAAAUAGUACGUGAAAUUGUUGAAAGGGAAGCGCUUGUGACCAGACUUGCGCCUGGUAAAUCAUCUAGCGUUCUCGCUAGUGCACUUUGCCGGCUCAGGCCAGCAUCAGUUUGCCGUUGGGGACAAAAGCUUCGGGAACGUGGCUCUCUUCGGGGAGUGUUAUAGCCCGCUGCACAAUACCCUCCGGCGGACUGAGGUACGCGCUCCGCAAGGAUGCUGGCGUAAUGGUCAUCAGCGACCCGUCUUGAAACACGGACCAAGGAGUCAACCUUAUGUGCGAGUGUUUGGGUGUUAAACCCCUACGCGUAAUGAAAGUGAACGUAGAUGAGAGCUUCGGCGCAUCAUCGACCGAUCCUGAUGUUCUCGGAUGGAUUUGAGUAAGAGCAUAUAGGGUUGGACCCGAAAGAAGGUGAACUAUGCGUGUAUAGGGUGAAGCCAGAGGAAACUCUGGUGGAGGCUCGCAGCGGUUCUGACGUGCAAAUCGAUCGUCAAAUAUGCGCAUGGGGGCGAAAGACUAAUCGAACCUUCUAGUAGCUGGUUUCCGCCGAAGUUUCCCUCAGGAUAGCAGUGUUGAACUCAGUUUUAUGAGGUAAAGCGAAUGAUUAGGGACUCGGGGGCGCUUAUUUGCCUUCAUCCAUUCUCAAACUUUAAAUAUGUAAGAAGCCCUUGUUGCUUAAUUGAACGUGGGCAUUCGAAUGUAUCAACACUAGUGGGCCAUUUUUGGUAAGCAGAACUGGCGAUGC
rnacentral:rRNA from 1 species